rnacentral:rRNA from 1 species
UACGUAGGGGGCAAGCGUUGUCCGGAUUUAUUGGGCGUAAAGAGCGUGUAGGCGGCCAGGGAGGUCCGUUGUGAAAACUCGAGGCUCAACCUCGAGACGCCGAUGGAAACCCCCUGGCUAGAGUCCGGAAGAGGAGAAUGGAAUUCCUGGUGUAGCGGUGAAAUGCGCAGAUAUCAGGAGGAACACCGGUGGCGAAGGCGGGUCUCUGGGCCGAUACUGACGCUGAGGAGCGAAAGCGUGGGGAGCGAACAGG